CCUGACCAACACAUCUCUUCUUGAGCGUCUGAAGUUUGUGUAUGUGCUGGGGAGCCACUUACAAUGAAACUGGGCAUUACCGGUUCUCCUACUCCCACUGUCAUCUGGACCAAAAAAGGAAAACCCAUCCCAAGGGCGCACACCUCCAACACUAAUGACUGUACUACACUAGAGCUCCUAAAAGCACAUCAUGGGGACACUGGAAACUACCUUGUGAUUGUUGAAAACGAUCAUGGCAGAGAUUUUGCAGAUAUUCCGUUCAUCAUUAUUGACAAGUGUGGACCCCCCGAAGGUCCUCUGGAGGUCAGUGAUGUGUUUGCGGACUCCUGCUGAUUGGCAUGGAAACCACCUCAGGACAAAAGAAACUUACCAAUUAUCGGUUACACAGUAGAGAAAUGCCAGGAGUGCUCAGACUUCUGGGAAAAGGUGCCUGGCAUACCGAUGUGCAAGUCCAGAAUAGUCACUGGACUGAAGACUGGAGUCAAGUUCAAGUUCAGGGUCAUGGCUGAGAACAUAUACGGAAUAGCAGAGCCCUUAGAGACAGACUGCCCAGUGUUAGUCAAGAAUCGAUUUGAGCCGGCUGCCAAGAAGACAGUAAUUUGGAAGAAGAUUCUGAAGAAGAUACACCAGUUGUUGAUACAGUUGCUCUGUCCACAGCUACAACCAACAAGUCCAAACCCACAACCAGCCAGUCCAAAGCCACAACCAGCCAGUCCAAAGUUUCAACCAAAGCAACAACCAGCUUUGUCGGAAAGAAAGCGCAGAAAAGAAAAAUGUGGUCUGUUGAAGAACAAGCUGCUGUUGAGCGACAACUGGGAAAAUAUCUUCACACUUCAAAGCUGCCAGAUAAACACGAGAUUGAGGAGAGCCGAAAAAAAGAACCUGUAUUGUUGAACAGACCUUGGCAACAAGUGAAAAGCUACAUUAAAAUAUGUAAAGUUUCAAUGCAGAGAAGAUUAAACAGUGCAAACUAAACAAGCUGUGUGUUUUGUGUCAAGCCAGCAGGGGUGAACUACUGGUUUAUUUCCUUGAAAAGCAUGCCUUAGUUACAAGGCUUAUUGUGUAUAAACAUUCAUCACUAUUUAUCUUUUGUUCGUAUUUUACAUUAACAUUCGACCUUGUACUCAUGUCCUUCGGAUUUUUUGUUGCGCAUAAUCAAAAAGGAUAAAUGCUAGGAAUGAAACUUUACAAACAUUAAUAUCCCAGCAUGAGAACUUAUUCCCCUGUGUAUUUUGGUCCUUUUUUCUACAUAAUUGGAGUUAUGAGACAACUGGAAUAUAGGGGAAUCAGUGUCCUUAGGACACGUGUUGAAUUGUUCUUUUUUAUCUUCAUUUUAUAUGCGUGAUGUGCUCACAUAAAGUUUUGUUUUAUUUUUGGGACUGCUUUUCAUGUGAGUCCAAUUUCUGUAUUAUCUACAUGUAGUGCUCCAUCAAGGCCUUAAUGGAAGGUUGCCCCGCCCUUCCUUUCCAAUGAUUUGUAACUUGAUUUGUAACAUUAUUGACAGUGUGUUAUGGCGCAUAUGUAGUAGCAGCUGUUUUUCUUAGUAUAAAUUACUUUUUUGGAUUUGUGUUGCAUAUUUCUCAAAAGGAUUUACUGCUAGAGUAGUAUACAUAUAAAUGUAUUGAUCAGCAUCUGCACUUUUAUUAUACGCUUUUGUAACAACAGGCAUGUUCUUUGUUAAAUUUAUUUUGCAAAAGUACAACAAACCUUUAACCCACAAUGGUAUCUUUAAGCAGCUUUUAGCUCCAUAUUUUGAAGAAAUGGCUUUUCUUCUUGCCCCAUCUUCAGCCUUUGAACUACAUGUAGCUUAAAGUUAAAACUUUUUCUGUAAGCUAGUUUCAUGUGAUUUCAAUGUCUGUAUUAUCUACAUGCAGUGCUCCAGCUAGGCCUUAAUGGAAGGGUGUCCCGCCCUGCCCUUCCGAAGUCCCGCCCUGCCCUUCUGAGGGCCCGCCCUGCCCUUCUGAGGCCCCGCCCUGCCCUUUUAUUAAAAAAAUGAGUUAAUAGCUUUUUUUUAUCUCCUAAAGAUGUUUCAUUAAUAAACCCAUAUGUUUUGUGCUGGGUUACUUGUUUGAAUAAUUAUAUUUCGUCAAUAUAAUGAUAAGUUGAUGACUGUAAUUGGUUUAUGUGUGGACUAUUUCUUAAUAUUUGAUGUGUUUAAUUUCACUAAAUGUUACAAUUUAUAAGUUUCAAGAGACAUAUAUGUUGGAGUGUGUUAUUGUAUGAGUGUUGGUAUUUUUCGCCUCAUUACGUGUGGACAUGAAUGUCAAUAGAUUGGAAUUAGAAGAUGAGAAUGUCGUACAUGAUCUCAUGACCACACUAUCAUUUUGUUUUGACUUAUUAAUAUAAUGCAACAUACAUGUCGUCUACUGUUAUUACAUAAAUAUAGUACAACAUACAUGUCAUCUACUGAAUGUAAUAAUUUGUUUGACAGACAUUUUGUGGAUUUUUCAAGACAGCAUAUUUUCCAAAAUACAUAAAGAUCACUUACGUAACUUUUUGCAUUCAAAAUAUUUCAGUGUUACAAUUAUGGUAACUGCUUCUUUCUGAUUGUUUUAAAAAAGACAUCUCAAUUGAGAGUUGUGUUUUGUUUUACAAAUUUUAUUUUAAUACUAAUAAGAAAAUUGGAAUACCGAAAAAUAUUUAUUAUUUUAAUAAAACAGAUUUUUGCUUCUCCUGAAAAAAAAUGUCAGUAACACAAAAGCUGAUAAGUCAUAUAACUGACAUUUUUAGCUUUAUAAUAUUUAGUAGUACCUGAGUAGUUACCUCGUUGAUUAAAAUAUUUAAAUCAAAA